CAUAUUUAGGUGCAUUACGUGUGAAGACAUGAUUAUGUUGGAGCUUUAAGACUAACAUACAUAUUGUACUUCUUCAUUGCCUUGGUUACUAUGACAAGUCUACCCUAUGGAGAAUGGGACUAGAGGAGUUUAUUGGGUAGGAACAGUUGACCUCAAGAACGUUUCGCAACAUAAAUCCUUCAUCUGGCUCUAUGUUUAGAGACAGAGGCAGUAUUUUU
rnacentral:lncRNA from 1 species